rnacentral:sRNA from 1 species
UCAUUUUUUAAAACAUUUAUUUUGGUAAGUUUACAUUUUCCUAGUUCAUAAUUUCUCCCUCCAUCACCAUGUCAGCCAAAAUCCAAAAUCUCUUAGAGAUUACUUGGCACAACUUCUGCCUUGGAGCUCCUGAGCUUGUCUGGGCUGGUUUUUGGGGAGCCCCAGAGCAUAGACUGUCUUGCAUGUCCCCCUGCAGAGCCUGGGCCUGGUGGACAGGAACAACGAACCGCUUACACACGCCAUGUAUAACCUGGCCUCUUUGCGUGAGCUGGGUGAGACCCAGCGCCGACCAUGCACCAUCCAGGUGCCCGAGCCCAUCCUCCGCAAGAUAGAGACCUUCCUGAACCAUUACCCUGUGGAGAGUUCAUGGAUCGCCCCGGAACUCCGGCUGCAGAGUGAUGACAUCUUGCCCUUGGGCAAGGACUCAGGGCCUCUGAGUGACCCUAUCACAGGCAAGCCCUACGUGCCCCUGUUGGAAGCAGAGGAGGUACGUCUCAGCCAGAGUCUGCUAGAACUGUGGCGGCGGCGAGGGCCGGUCUGGCAGGAGGCACCCCAGCUACCUGUGGAUCCACAUCGGGACACCAUCCUC